CUACCAAGGCGACGAUCUAGUAGCGAGUGUCUGAGAGAGUAUGAUCCGCCACACGUCGCGCACUGAGACACGGCCCAGACUCCUACGGGAGGCAGCAGUGGGGAAUAUUGGACAGAUGGGCGAAAGCCUGAUCCAGCCAUGAUCAAACUC
rnacentral:rRNA from 1 species